UUAAUGAAAUGACCAAGACUGUCGAAAUUAUGAGUUGUUACUGUUCCAGCCUUUACCGGUGAGGCGGUGACCGCUCUGCAGAAUUUUGCUUUCGAAAGUUUACCCAUACUAAAGUAAAUAUUUCACAUAGCAUACUAUACCAUGACUAUGAAGAGGAAUUUUCAUCGAUUUUUUCAUUAAUAUUUCAGGUGGUUUAUAGUUAUUGCUCCUUUGAAAGAUCUCGUAAAAGAACUGAGAGAUUGGAAAGUAAGAUUUCAAAGGAAACUAAAAAAGAAAUUGUCGAAUUGACGGGUGAUGUUACGCCCGACAUACAAGCCAUCUCAUCCGCAUCCAUAAUUGUAACAACCCCUGACAAAUGGGGCAGUAUUUCACGUAGUUGGCAAACACGUACUUAUGUGAAAAAAGCUGUCUUGAUGAUAGACGAAAUUCAUCUGUUGGGAGAAGAUCAUGGACCGGUAUUGAUAGUAGAUAAUUGUUUCUCGAACAAAUUUCAUCGUUUCUCAUAUAUCGAAAAGAAUAUUCGUAUUGUUGGAUUAUCGACUACUUUGGCCA